UACGAAGGGGGCUAGCGUUGCUCGGAAUCACUGGGCGUAAAGCGCACGUAGGCGGAUUGUUAAGUCAGGGGUGAAAUCCUGGAGCUCAACUCCAGAACUGCCUUUGAUACUGGCGAUCUCGAGUCCGGGAGAGGUGAGUGGAACUCCGAGUGUAGAGGUGAAAUUCGUAGAUAUUAGGGAAGAACACCGAUGGCGGAAGG
rnacentral:rRNA from 1 species